UUAGAUGGCGACCGGCGCACGGGUGAGUAACACGUAUCCAACCUGCCGAUGACUCGGGGAUAGCCUUUCGAAAGAAAGAUUAAUACCCGAUGGCAUAGUUCUUCCGCAUGGUAGAACUAUUAAAGAAUUUCGGUCAUCGAUGGGGAUGCGUUCCAUUAGGUUGUUGGCGGGGUAACGGCCCACCAAGCCUUCGAUGGAUAGGGGUUCUGAGAGGAAGGUCCCCCACAUUGGAACUGAGACACGGUCCAAACUCCUACGGGAGGCAGCAUG
rnacentral:rRNA from 1 species